rnacentral:rRNA from 1 species
CAGGUCUUGACAUCCUUUGACCACCCUAGAGAUAGNGCUUUGGCCUUCGGNGACAAAGUGACAGGUGGUGCAUGGUUNUCGUCANCUCGUGUCGUGAGAUGUUGGGUUAAAAAANNCAACGAGCGCAACCCCUAUUAUUAGUUGCCAGCAUUCAGUUGGGCACUCUAAUGAGACUNCCGGUGAUAAACCGGAGGAAGGUGGGGAUGACGUCAAAUCAUCAUGCCCCUUAUGACCUGGGCUACACACGUGCUACAAUGGAUGGUACAACGAGUCGCAAGGUCG